UACGUAGGGGGCAAGCGUUGUCCGGAUUUAUUGGGCGUAAAGCGCUCGCAGGUGGUCCGAUACGUCGUGCGUGAAAGCCCCCGGCUCAACUGGGGAGUGUCGUGCGAUACGGUCGGACUGGAGGCCAGUAGGGGGAUGCGGAAUUCCGGGUGUAGUGGUGGAAUGCGUAGAGAUCCGGAGGAACACCAGCGGCGAAGGCGGGUAGCUGGGCCAACACUGACGCUGAUGUGCGAAAGCUAGGGGAGCAAACGGG
rnacentral:rRNA from 1 species